CGAGAUUUCACCCGCGAGAAGGCUCGCUGUGGUGAAGGCUUCCCUUUUGAACCUCGGUGCGCGUCUCAGCGAGCCGACCGAGAAACGCCUCUUUCAUCUGAAAGUAGCCAAUCAGAAGCGAUCUUCCACGCAGGGCUCCGCCUCACGCUGAGCGCCGCCCAAUCCCUGGUAGGCUUAUGAAGGAGCCCACAGGGCGUAGGAGUUUCGAAGAGCACCCAGGAAGACGCUGGAACCGGGAGUAAACUACGAUUUAUCAAAGGAAGCUGGAACUUACGGCUUCCUCUAGCUGUGGGACCAGAAAGGUUUAAGCGGAGGGACGCGUUUAAUGAAAAGCCAGAUCUGGCAGGCCGGGUCGGACUACAAGUUCCAACAUGCCCCGCGGCCGGGGCGCUCUGGGCGACGCUGUGUGCUGCCUUCCCCGACACGCCUGCGGUGCCUCAGCUGAGGGAGUGCAAACAAGGACCCGCCCGUGAAAGAUAGUCUUUUAAAUGGCUAAGUUCAUGUCUGGUAGCAGAGAGACCGCAGACUAAAGAUUAGUGCUUGAGACCACCACAAAUGUCUGUGUCCGCUCUAUCCUGGACCCAAGGCCACAGCACUUCGAGUAGCCUAAUUCGGCUUGAGGCUGCCUCCAUCCUCCGUGUGCCUCACACGUGUCUCCCGUCCAAACCAGAAGGACCAGACAUACAACUAUUAAUAAAAAUAUUAGAAACAACAAGAAGAAAUAGCAAAUUUGGAAGCAAUGAAUUCACUCAAUUUUUCCUAAACUUCAAUUCUUCCUACCCUGAUCAACCAUGUAAUCAGUAUUUAAAAAAAUGAUAAUAAUCAAAAUAAAAUCCUUUUCUGAGCACUGCCAUCCCAGUGGCUCUGGGAGCCCAUGUUCCUCCAUGAACACACAGCUGCUCCACUGCUCUUCUCGGAGCACUGCCACCCCAGUGCCUCUGCAGGCCAACGUUGCUCCAUGAACACAGCUGCUCCACUGCU